GCGGUUGUGGCGAAGCGGUUAACGCACCGGAUUGUGGCUCCGGCAUCGGAGGGUUCAACUCCCUUCAGCCGCCCCA
rnacentral:tRNA from 1 species